rnacentral:rRNA from 1 species
CUGCCAGUAGUCAUAUGCUUGUCUCAAAGAUUAAGCCAUGCAAGUGUAAGUUUAGUUGUCAAACAGUGAAAACUGCGAAUGGCUCAUUAAAUCAGUUAUAGUUUAUUUGAUGCUAUAGGUCGUAAGGCCACUACAUGGAUAUCUGUAGUAACAUAGAGCUAAUACAUGCAAUAUAGUCUGACUUUUUGGAAGGACUAGCACUUAUUAGAUAUUAAACCAAUCCUCGCAAGAGGUUUUAUGGUGAUUCAUAGUAACUGAACAAAUCACAUAGUCUUGUACUGGUGAUGUUUCAUUCAAAUUUCUGCCCUAUCAACUUGAUGGUAGUAUAUAGGACUACCAUGGUUAUAACGGGUAACGGAGGAUUAGGGUUUGAUUCCGGAGAAGGAGCAUGAGAAACGGCUACUAUUUCUAAGGAAAGCAGCAGGCGCGC